GACGGAGGAUGCAAGCGUUAUCCGGAAUGAUUGGGCGUAAAGCGUCCGCAGGUGGCUGUGUAAGUCUGCUGUCAAAGAGCAAAGCUCAACUUUGUAAAGGCAGUGGAAACUACACGGCUAGAGUGCGUUCGGGGCAGAGGGAAUUCCUGGUGUAGCGGUGAAAUGCGUAGAUAUCUGGAGGAACACCGGUGGCGAAGGCGGCAUCCUGGACCAACAUUGACGCUGAGGAGCGAGAGCCAGGGGAGCAAACGGG
rnacentral:rRNA from 1 species